AUGAACGCUGGCGGCGUGCCUAAUACAUGCAAGUCGAGCGAACAGACGAGGAGCUUGCUCCUCUGACGUUAGCGGCGGACGGGUGAGUAACACGUGGAUAACCUACCUAUAAGACUGGGAUAACUUCGGGAAACUGGAGCUAAUACCGGAUAAUAUAUUGAACCGCAUGGUUCAAUAGUGAAAGACGGUUUUGCUGUCACUUAUAGAUGGAUCCGCGCCGCAUUAGCUAGUUGGUAAGGUAACGGCUUACCAAGGCAACGAUGCGUAGCCGACCUGAGAGGGUGAUCGGCCACACUGGAACUGAGACACGGUCCAGACUCCUACGGGAGGCAGCAGUAGGGAAUCUUCCGCAAUGGGCGAAAGCCUGACGGAGCAACGCCGCGUGAGUGAUGAAGGUCUUCGGAUCGUAAAACUCUGUUAUUAGGGAAGAACAAAUGUGUAAGUAACUAUGCACGUCUUGACGGUACCUAAUCAGAAAGCCACGGCUACUACGUG
rnacentral:rRNA from 1 species